rnacentral:rRNA from 1 species
UGGGGUAUAUUGCACAACGGGCGCAAGCCCGAUGCAGCCAUGCUGCGGGUAUGAAGAAGGCCUUCGGGUUGUAAACUACUUUCAGUGGGGAGGAAGGGAGUCAUGUUAAUACCUUUACUCAUUGACGUUACCCGCAGAAGAAGCACCGGCUAACUCCGUGCCAGCAGCCGCGGUAAUACGGAGGGUGCAAGCGUUAAUCGGAAUUACUGGGCGUAAAGCGCACGCAGGCGGUUUGUUUAGUCAGUUGUGAAAUCCCCGGGCUAAACCUGGGAAAAGCAUCUGAUACUGGCAAGCUUGAGUCUCGUAGAGGGAGGUGGAGUUCCUGGUGUAGGGGUGAGAUGCGUAGAGAUCUAGAGGAAAACCGGUAGCGAGGGCGGCCCCCUGGACGAAGACUGACGCACAGGUGCGAAAGCGUGGGGGGCAAGCGGG